CCUACGGGGGGUAGCAGUGAGGAAUAUUGGUCAAUGGGCGGAAGCCUGAACCAGCCAAGUAGCGUGCGGGAUGAAGGCCCUACGGGUCGUAAACCGCUUUUGCACGGGGAUAACACCCUCCACUUGUGGAGGUCUGCAGGUACCGUGCGAAUAAGGGCCGGCUAAUUCCGUGCCAGCAGCCGCGGUAAUACGGAAGGCCCGAGCGUUAUCCGGAUUCAUUGGGCUUAAAGGGAGCGUAGGCGGGCGUUCAAGUCAGCUGUAAAAUCGCGCGGCUCAACCGAGCCCCGCAGUUGAAACUGGACGCCUUGAGUGUCGGAGAGGUAAUCGGAAUUCCUAGUGUAGCGGUGAAAUGCGUAGAUAUUAGGAAGAACACCAGUGGCGAAGGCGGAUUACUGGACGAUAACUGACGGUGAGGCGCGAAAGCGUGGGGAGCAAACAGGAUUAGAUACCCUUGUAGUC
rnacentral:rRNA from 1 species